AUUGAACGCUGGCGGCAGGCCUAACACAUGCAAGUCGAGCGGAUGAAGGGAGCUUGCUCCUGGAUUCAGCGGCGGACGGGUGAGUAAUGCCUAGGAAUCUGCCUGGUAGUGGGGGAUAACGUCCGGAAACGGGCGCUAAUACCGCAUACGUCCUGAGGGAGAAAGUGGGGGAUCUUCGGACCUCACGCUAUCAGAUGAGCCUAGGUCGGAUUAGCUAGUUGGUGGGGUAAAGGCCUACCAAGGCGACGAUCCGUAACUGGUCUGAGAGGAUGAUCAGUCACACUGGAACUGAGACACGGUCCAGACUCCUACGGGAGGCAGCAGUGGGGAAUAUUGGACAAAGGGCGAAAGCCUGAUUCAGCCAUGCCGCGUGUGUGAAGAAGGUCUUCGGAUUGUAAAGCACUUUAAGUUGGGAGGAAGGGCAGUAAGUUAAUACCUUGCUGUUUUGACGUUACCAACAGAAUAAGCACCGGCUAACUUCGUG
rnacentral:rRNA from 1 species